AUCCAGCUGACGAGUCCCAAAUAGGACGAAACGCGCGUCGAACUGAAU
rnacentral:hammerhead_ribozyme from 1 species